rnacentral:snRNA from 1 species
CCUAGUACGAGAGGAACCG